UACGUAGGGUGCAAGCGUUAAUCGGAAUUACUGGGCGUAAAGCGCGCGCAGGCGGUUGGGCAAGACAGAUGUGAAAUCCCCGGGCUUAACCUGGGAAUUGCAUUUGUGACUGCACGGCUAGAGUGUGUCAGAGGGGGGUAGAAUUCCACGUGUAGCAGUGAAAUGCGUAGAUAUGUGGAGGAAUACCGAUGGCGAAGGCAGCCCCCUGGGAUAACACUGACGCUCAUGCACGAAAGCGUGGGGAGCAAACAGG
rnacentral:rRNA from 1 species